UACGUAGGGUCCGAGCGUUGUCCGGAAUUACUGGGCGUAAAGAGCUCGUAGGUGGUUUGUCGCGUUGUCCGUGAAAACUCACAGCUCAACUGUGGGCGUGCGGGCGAUACGGGCAGACUGGAGUACUGCAGGGGAGACUGGAAUUCCUGGUGUAGCGGUGGAAUGCGCAGAUAUCAGGAGGAACACCGGUGGCGAAGGCGGGUCUCUGGGCAGUAACUGACGCUGAGGCACGAAAGCGUGGGGAGCAAACAGG
rnacentral:rRNA from 1 species